GAGGGUGUGAGGGAGGAGCGGAGCUGGGGAAGCGGGAGCGCGACCAGACCCCGGGCCCCGCCCCAGCCCCAGCCCGGCCCUGCCCGGCCCGGCCAACCCUCCCCUGCCGGCGCGGCGACCCCGCCCCGAGCGCCCAGCAUGAAAGAGCAGAGCCUGGAUGAGGAGAUGGUCGAAGAGGUUAUGGAAACCCCUAUGGAGGAGCUGCCAUCACACCUGCGGGAAGGUCCCCCUGAAGGUACCUUCAUCAAUACUUGCCUUCAGGAAAAGCUCUUCUAUCAGUCAUGUGCACCUUAGUGUGAAUUUAAGCCACCUUUUUCUCCUCCCAAAGGAGAUCUGAAUUGCAAGUCAGAUCUCUCACAGACAACAAAGUCUCCCAUUCUAGGGGGAAAAAAAAGAGUUCUUGCGUCUUUGAAUGGGGAGUCCUUUCCUGCCGCCAGAAAACCAACCAUCUUUUAUCCUCUCCUCACCUUUGCUCUCUCCCCAAUAAAUGCAAACUGUGUGGACUUCCGUUUCA
rnacentral:lncRNA from 1 species